rnacentral:rRNA from 1 species
GACGAACCGUGCGAACGUUGUUCGGAAUCACUGGGCUUAAAGGGCGCGUAGGCGGGCUCGCCGGUCCGGGGUGAAAGCCCCCAGCUCAACUGGGGAAGCGCCUUGGAUACCGCGGGCCUGGAGGGAGGUAGGGGCGUGCGGAACUUCCGGUGGAGCGGUGAAAUGCGUAGAUAUCGGAAGGAACACCGGUGGCGAAAGCGGCGCGCUGGACCUCUUCUGACGCUGAGGCGCGAAAGCCAGGGGAGCAAACGGGAUUAGAAACCCCCGUAGUCC